AAAAUCAAGUGCAGGUGGUAGAUCCUUUUCCUAUCUAGCGCCUAAACUUUGGAAUAGUCUUCCCUGCACUGUCCGGGAGGCAGACACACUCUGUCAGUUUAAAUCUAGACUAAAGACGCAUCUUUUUAAUCUUGCAUACACUACUCUUCCAUAAUAUAAAUCUUCAGAGGGUUUAGGCUGCAUUAGUUAGAUCAACCGGAACCAAAAACACAACUGAUGUACUUGUUGCAUCAAAGAGUACAGAACAGUACUCUACUCUCAGCCAGUCUUGUCUCAUUGUUCCAAGGUUACCACAGCGAGCAGGAUGCAGUUCAUGGCCUGACCUGAUGGUAGAGCGGAGAAUGGGAAGUGGGGACCUGACAAGAGCUGAGAUGAUAGAGCUGGAUAAAGAAGGACGCGGUCUCUUGACAUGUCUUCACCACAAAACUUCAAAUGCUAUUAGAUUAUUAAUGAUAAUCUUAAACUAUAAUUUAUUUUAUUAUUAAGUUUAUUUAUUUUAUUUAGCCUUGUUGUGCAAGUUCUCUGGAGCUUGUGCAGAGGCAGCAGCUUUUGCCAGAGGGGAACUGGAAUCCCCUGGUUGGGCCUGGGUUCUCCUGAGGUUUUUUUUCUCGAUUAGAGUUUUGGGUUCCUCGCCACCGUUUGCAUACUGUUUUUGCACUAUCUGCCUGACCGGGGGGGCUGCUUUAGAAUCUUAAAGUUUUACUUAAUUAAUAUUGCAUAUAGGAAUUUAUUAUCUGUUAUAUUUGACCUGUGCUUCUCUCUCCUUUAUCCUAAAUGUGUGCUCUCACUGAGCGUGUGUGUGUGUGCGUACUUGUCUGUGUACGUACGUGUGUGUGUGUGUGUGUUGUGUGUGUGUGCGUGCGCAUCCGUGUGUGUGUGUGUCUCUGUGUCUGUGUGUGUUGGUGCGUGUGCGUGUUGUGUGUGUGGAGUGUUUUGUGUGUGGGUGUGUCUGUCUUCUGUGUUUUCAACCUUUUCUUGUUUUUGCAGGUACAACUUUGAUUGUUUUGCUUGUAGUCAAUGUGUCUCAUGUGCAGCUGCUUUGUAACAAUGAAAAUUGUAAAAGCGCUAUAUAAAUAAAGUUGAGUUGAGUUGAGUUGAGACUUACAGAAGGUAUACUUAACUAAGAAGGUUUCGGGAAACACGUAUCUUAAGGUACUUAAGAACGACGUAGCGUUAAGAAGGUUUGCCCUGAUUAGAAUCGAGUAGUAUUUUAAAAUAAAUAUAUUGUUUUAACGUCGGCGUGAAACGGAAGUUGCGAUUGUGUUUUUUCCGAAUCGUGAUGGAUACCCGAGUAAAACGACUUCUGAAAUGAGAAAAAAAUGUAGGGCGGGACUUGAUUUCAUUCUCCGACAACUGAUUGGAUCGUUAAAAGGUGAAAGAUUUGAAUGCCAUUUUGCCAUAGGUCAAUCAUUGCAGCCCCGCCCUCGUGACCAGAAGUGAAGAGAGGUCAUUUCGUGCAAAUUAAUAAAAAAAAUAUGUGCACAGAUAAAUAAUUUAUAAUAAAUACUUCACCACUGUGUAAUAAUAAUAAUAAUAAUAAUAAUAGUAAAACAAAUUUUGCAAAACAACAUUAUUAUUAUUAUUAUUUUACAAAAUUAUUAUUGAAUCUCUGCAUUACAGCGAUGUGAAAUCAUUGCACAUUUGUCAAUAACUAGGUAAGAAAAUGCCGCAACCUUUGACCUGUCAGUAAACUUCAUCAAGAGUGGAGAAGUGAAACAGAAGUAUCCAGGUGAGCCAGCAACCCUUCCACCAGCCCUCUUCUAGACUUGAGUGAUUAGAAGUUUACGAAUCAGAUGAAGUGAUUGAAACACUCAGUGGAGCUUGUGAUCUCACGCAAGAUUGAAUUCCAUAUCAGUCUGAACCAGAGCUCACAUUGAAGAUCUCUGUAAGAACUCUUUUUCUUCUUUUUUAAUAGGCUCCGAGAAAAACAUUUGUCUAGAGACUGACGUUGAGAAAAUUAUACAAUGGUUCCAAACCCACACUUGAAGGACGUUGAAAGAGAUUCACCCUUCAUUAACUUCAGCGUGUUUUGGGUUUCUGUUCACUUUUUGGUAAAGAUCUGCAUUAAAGUCCUUCACGAGGGCAAAAAAACCGCCCCUGACGUGUAGAGCAAAACCAGGGUGUCUGACCUACAGGCCGUUACAGCGGUGCAUUGAUCAGACUGCAUCUCAAAUUAGCACGCGCCGCCGAGCGCGUAAUGACAGCGGAUGAGAUCGCCCCAAGAAACCUCGAACACAAAAGAAGAUAUUUUGAAGAAUGUUGUUAACAGCCCCAUGUAGAUGAUGACAGAAUUUUCAUUUUGAAAGUGAACUACUCCUUUAAGACACCUCGUGUGAACUGACGUAUGGAGUUGGUAUUGACACCUCAUCUAAACACCUCUGGCGGUGAAGAUCCGGAAUCACUUCAAAUACAGGAAGCCCAACACAGCUUUGGCAUUGUGCAGGUUGCCAUAGAAACGAAUCAUGUGAGGAAGUAAAAAGCUUAGAAUGAUCAGAAGCUCUGUCUCGUAAUGACAGUAAUUCUGCAUGAAUCUGACAAUGAACGGGAAAAAACAGUGUGAUGUGAAGGAAUACAUCACGCUGUUAUGAUAAUGAUAGUCAAUCUUCUGUUAAUAACAAUAAUAGUACAGUUUAUGUUAUGAUGUUUGUUUUCUUGUGAAUGUUUCAUGGUUUAUGUAGUCAAGACUUCAAAUAAGUGCGCAAGGAGAGAGGAUAUAAAGGGAGAAAUAUGGUCAAUUGUCUUGCUGAGUUUUAAAAACGUAUCAUAAACCAUAAGCGCAUGUUUAUUUCUCUCAUCGUAAAUAGAAAAUUUGUA